rnacentral:lncRNA from 1 species
AACUGAUUGUCUGAGACCUUUGCCUGGUUGCUUACUUAGCAUUGCUCUCGAGAACUCAUCCUCACCUGCUGUCAAGGUCAUGAAUUCCACCGGCACAUACCUCAUAACAGUUGAUCAGAUAUUGGCUCUUUACACUGAAGCUGCCAAGUGUGGAUGAGUCACUAUGAAGGAAUGUUCUGAAGGACCAUUUAAAUGCAAAGGUUGCACACCACUUCUGCCAUGCAAAAGAUUGAAGCAGAAGGUUCAAUGGUGAGCUGAAACAGAUCACUACAGCACGACACUUUUCCAUACCACAUUCAUUAUUCCGUCAACAGCAAAAGUAUCCCAUAUCAUCAAGGUCAAACGUACUCUAGAUUUGAUGGACUUGUUUUGACCCUCAAAUUCUUGAGUCGGCCUUAUACUCUGAAGGGAACCAGAAAACCCUCAAGCACAGUUCAAGAAUAAGCCUGUGGAAAGUUACUUCUUCAAAAGCAAAAGUAUCUCAUAUCAUCUCUUCUCCAUUUGCUUCUCCUUAUCCUGUCAGCUGAAUGAGAGACAAGGAGAAGGAGAACAAUCAACCGGAAGCUGAAGUCGAACAUCCGAUACUGGGUUGCUUGCUUGGAAGUUUGACUGCUUACCUUGUCUGUCACCUCUUUCGGCAGAUCUCCUAGCUCGGUGACUUGGGGGACUCCUACUAUAGGGUUUGUAUCGCACUUGACCAAGCCCGAAACUACAAGUAAGCUUCAAGUGAAAUUGAUACAUUACCUUGUGCAUCUUCAUCGGUUAAAAAUACCACCUAUGGAUGGAGGAAAAGUACUUCCAGAGAAAAUGCCACAUCUACAUAUGAGACAGAUAAGGCACGUGAAAAUGAUACCACACUUCAGUACUUAGAAGUUUUGUGAUUACUCAAUGGCUUGGAUCUUGCAAGUCCCCAACCGAGGAGCUUCCCUCACUCGGGAACUUAGGGGAGCACUGUUUGUACCAUACUUGACCAAUCCCGAAACUACUGAGCACCGGUAAACGUUAUACCGUCAAGGACCCAGAAGAGCUUCCCUUCAACCAGGUGGCCAAUCACAAUGCGACACGUGUCGACAUCAGAAGCCAAUCACAGCUCGACACGUGUCAACAUUAGAAGCCAAUCACAACACGACACGUGUCAAUGUUAGAACAAAACUAGAAACUCUCUUCUAUAAAUAGGGAUCAUUCUCCCACAAUAAUCUCUAAUGUCAUUUUGUACUAAACUAUUCACUAGAACUCAUAAAAUGAGAGCUUGAACCUAUGUAUUUGUGUAAACCCUUCACAAUUAAUGAGAACUCCUCUACUCCGUGGACG